rnacentral:rRNA from 1 species
GAAAGAUAGUGGCGAACGGGUGAGUAACACGUGGGUAACCCUGCCCAUAAGAGGGGGGAUAACAUCCGGAAACGGGUGCUAAUACCGCAUAGUUUUCUUGAUCGCAUGAUCGGGAAAGGAAAGACGGCCUUUGUGCUGUCGCUUAUGGAUGGACCCGCGGCGUAUUAGUUAGUUGGUGAGGUAACGGCUCACCAAGACGAUGAUACGUAGCCGACCUGAGAGGGUGAUCGGCCACAUUGGGACUGAGACACGGCCCAAACUCCUACGGGAGGCAGCAGUAGGGAAUCUUCCGCAAUGGACGAAAGUCUGACGGAGCAACGCCGCGUGAGUGAAGAAGGUUUUCGGGAAUCGUAAAACUCUGUUGUCAGAGAAGAACAAGUUGGAGAGUAACUGCUCCAGCCUUGACGGUAUCUGACCAGAAAGCCACGGCUAACUACGUGCCAGCAGCUGC